rnacentral:misc_RNA from 1 species
UAUAGAGGUUCAGAGUCCAGGGCACUCACUUGUAAUGUAAUUUGGAAAUAACCUGAAUCCCUAAUGAAAUCGAGGAUCUUUCAGCGAGUUAUUCUGAUAAAGUCUCGUAAGUUUCUCUAAAUCCCAUGAGCUUCGAUCGAUCACUUCAUUUUCCUUUAUUUAUUUUUAAAAUGCAAUUGUUUACUUGCUGGUUUUGCUUUGCGAUUGUAAUCAGUGUCAUUAAGAAAUGUGCGUAAUCUGUUUGCUCAACUACUAAUUGAAGUGUGAUCAAAAGAAUUUUUCUUUUUAUUUCUCUUUGAUUUUUAGUUUCCAAGAAAAUUGAAGAAUGGGUUCGGGAUAGGAAAUUGUUAUUAGUUUCCAACUCUUACGAUUGAAUGCUGAGCAGAGGAAUGUAAAGUUGUGAUAUAUUUUUUUUUCUUUAACCCAUCUGGUGUUUGGAUUCUUUAUGAGAAGUGGAAAUAUUUGUAUUUUUUGGAUUGUAUUGAUAAAGAAAUAGUUUAAUAAUCUAUUGGGUUCUUGUCAAAUUUUGUUUUCAAGAUACGCAACACCAAAGUUUGUUCAAGUUCCAAAAGAGAGUUCAUGGAAAUUUAGGAGUGGCAAUGGCUUAGGGUUGAUUACAGUUUUUGAAUCUCCAGUUCAGAUUUAAUAAAUUUAUGAACUUAAAUUAAAUUUGUUAUGGGAUAAUUUGAGAAAUGAUUACUGAACCGUCGGUUACAAUAUGAGCCCUAAUUUAAAAUGAUUCGAAG